rnacentral:tRNA from 1 species
CGGUUUUGUAGUGUAGCGGUUAUCACUCCGGAUUCUGAUUCUUCUCAUCAGUACUCUUCCGGCAACCCCGGUUCGAUUCCGGGCAAGACCU